rnacentral:lncRNA from 1 species
CUGUACUCCUGAAGGAGAGGUGGAAGGUUGAUGUUGUCCUGGAGGAGAGGUGGAAGGUGAUGUAGUACUGUACUCCUGGAGGAGAGUGGAAGGUUGAUGUGUCCUGGAGGAAAGGGGAAGGUUGAUGUUGUCCUGGAGGAGAGGAGGAAGGUUGAUGUUGUACUGUACUCCUGAAGGAGAGGUGGAAGGUUGAUGUUGUACUGUCCUCCGGUGGGAGAGGUGGAAGGUUAUGUUGUACUGUACUCCUGGAGGAGAGGUGGAGGGUGAUGUGUCCUGGAGGACAGGUGGAAGGUUGAUGUUGUACUGGAGGAGAGGAGGAAGGUUGAUGUUGUACUGUACUCCUGGGGGAGAGGUGAAGGUUGAUGUGUACCUGGGGGAGAGGUGGAAGCUUGAUGUUGUCUUUGGGGGAGAGGUGGAAGGUUGAUGUUGUCCUGGAGGAGAGGUGGAAGGUUGAUGUUGUCAUGGAGGAGAGGAGGAAGGUUAAUGUUGUACGGAGGAGGGGAGGAAGGUUGAUGCGGUACUGUACUCCUGGAGGAGAGGUGGAAGUUGAUGUUGUCCUGGAGGAAAGGUGGAAGGUUGAUGUUGUUGUCCUGGAGGAGAGGUGGAAGGUUGAUGUUGUACUGGAGGAGAGGAGGAAGGUUGAUGUUGUACUGGAGGAGAGGAGGAAGGUUGAUGUUGUCCUGGAGGAGAGGAGGAAGGUUGAUGUUAAACUGUAGUCCUGGUUUCUCUACUUUCUUCAGAGCUGGAGGUGAGAGGACAGGACAGAGGAGACGUAUCUAGGCUAAAGAAAGAUAGAUGAGAGCCUAAUAGGGGAAGAGGGGAUAGCGUGUUGUACUGUGGAGCCAGAGGAACAGCAGAGAGGCUUCUGGGUAGAGAGGAGACGAGGAGGAGGAGGAGGAGGAAGAGGAGGAGGAGGAGGAGCAGAGGAGGAGGGGAAGGAGCAGAAGAGGAGAGGGCAUUAUGACGAGGUCACAGAUCCGCAUCACGUAUUGGCCUAUUAUAUCAUACUACAGCUAUAGCACAGAAUGCUGGUAGAGUAAUGACUCUCUCCCUCUCUCUCCCUCCCUCUCUCUCUCUCUCUCUCUCUCUCUCUCUCUCUCUCUAUGACCUCCUCCUUCCUACUAUCCGGACAUCAAAGUCCCUGUAAUUCAUCACCUGUCCAAAACACUAGGUCAUCGCCUGUCACAACACAGAAACGUUAACAGGGCAGAACAAGACAAUGAAGGAUAGAGAGAGAGAAUGAUUGAUGGAGAGAUAAUGAAGGUCUGUUAGCAUUGUGACUGUUAGGAUUCUGGCUGCAGAGUGUGUGUGUGGUAUUUAUUAGCUCCAGCCCAUUGUGAGGGGCUGUUAGCAGGCCUGUCACCACACCAGGAGACCAGGUGACAAGUAGAGUAGGUGACAAAGAUCUUAGUCUCUCCUAACAGCUGUCUGUCAAAGGGCUCUAUCACUGGUAACAGAGUCCACUGGUGUGUCUGCUGGUACAAAGAGCUCUAUGACUGGUAACAGAGUCUACUGGUACAAAGAGCUCUAUCACUGGUAACAGAGUCCACUGGUACAAAGAGCUCUAUGACUGGUAACAGAGUCUACUGGUACAAAGAGCUCUAUGACUGGUAACAGAGUCUACUGGUACAAAGAGCUCUAUGACUGGUAACAGAGUCNUGACUGGUAACAGAGUCUACUGGUACAAAGAGCUCUAACAGAGUCUACUGGUACAAAGAGCUCUAUGACUGGUAACAGAGUCUACUGGUACAAAGAGCUCUAUGACUGGUAACAGAGUCUACUGGUACAAAGGGCUCUAUGACUGGUA